UCUAUCAAUUUUUAUUUUAUUUCAAAUUAUUUUUGCAAAUUUAAAAUACUUAUAUCAUUAAAAUGGCUUUAUUACCAAUCUUGUCUAUUGGCAGCAUACGUAAAUACAUGUGCAUGUACAAGUGAUGAGUUGUUAAAUGUUAUAUAUGUAUUUUAUUGUUUAGUUCUAUUAAAAUACUUUAUUCUGUCGUCACUAUUUUUGAAAACAAUGUUUUGAAAAAAGUGACUUUUCCAUUACACUAAUAUAUGCAAGGUCGUUAGACUAAAGCAGGUUGAUGGCAAUACAUCAACAUCAAUAAUAAACAAAGCUUUAGGUCAACAAUAGUUCAAGCUAAAUUUAGCAAGGUUGGAAAACGGAGAAUGACCAGUCACGGCUACUUACGAGUACAAAGCUUUAGACAGCAAACGUCAAUUCAAUAUUGAAUUAACGCUGUACCAACGUUGCUAUGUUGUAUUAAUAUUAUUUCAAUGUUAGAUUGACGUUAUGGGACCUCUGGGUACGUUCAUUCAGGCAAAUGUUACUUUUAGAUAAAUAUAGUAUAAAGAUAAUGUAUAUAUAAGAUUUUGUAUGGAAUUUAUGAAAAUGUUAUAUCUAGCUUAAUGCAGUUUCAAAAAUUUUAUUAUCUUUAACAGUUUAAAUACAAAUUUAAUUAUAAAU